UCAAUCUCCCCCUUUUUGGUAAUUGACGACAACCAUCCAAAGGAGUGAUAUAAAAGAGCUUCAAGCCAACUUUACACAAGGUAGACUUGAGAGUGAAUCUUGAUGUCACUUACCCAUUUCAAUAAAUUCAGAGAUAAAAAUGGAUAGAUGGCAUCAAAAUUCAAAGUGUAGAGAAAACUCCCCCUGCAUAUGUGCAUAUAAAUUUUGAAUUCCUUUUUCUCACAUAUGCAUGGAUAUGGAAAUUUCGGCCGAGUCUCCCCUACAAAAUGGAAACAGAGGCAACAAGAGUAGAUAUAUCCAAGAAUAUUCAACAACAAUAACCAUGAAUGAUAAGCCUCAAAUUUCCACAAGCACUAGAACAAGCAACGAAGAUAAAAGAGAUAAGAACAUAAACACAGUUCACCACAUAUUACAAUAACAAGUUCUAGUACCAAGCAAAGCCACGCAAGUGAGUGCAUAAUUAUUGCAACCAAAGUUCAUGCAUAUGCUAGCCACAAAAUGCAAAGGUCUAACACAAAUGCAAAGUUCAACAUGAUGCAACAAACAAGUAUCAUGAGGUCCCCCAGCAAAGGUGAAUCAUCUCAUUAAUCACUCCUCCAUACAUU
rnacentral:lncRNA from 1 species